AGGCAUCCCGCGGGACGGCCCGCGAAGGCCUAUAUGUUUUGCGGUACGAGUUUAGGCCAGCAUUUUGAGGACCGCAGUCCGCGCGGGACAGGCCCGCUGUGACCCGCUCGAUGACUAAUCCGCCGCGGUUCGGAAUGGGACGGGAUGGGUAAACCUGUUUGACAUCUCUAAUUGGAAGGGUGAUUCAUGAAGAGUUUAUGGAUUUGAAAAGUUUAUAGAUUUUGAAGAAUUGGAAAGUUUUCAUGGAUUUUAACAAACAAGUGCAUCCAUAUUUAUAGAAUCCAUACAAUUUUCAUAGAUUGUUUUUUUUUAGCAAUUUUCAUAGAUUGUUAUGGAUUCGUAAUUACAUUAAUUUUUGUUAUUGUUUAUGUAAAAUAAUUAUAUAAGAAUAUUCUUCUAGAAAAUGUUUCAUAUAAU
rnacentral:lncRNA from 1 species